UUUAUCAUGCAACAUUGACAUAACAAUCUCUUGCACGUGAUCUUCUUGCACCGAACGCACUAAUAGGUAGUCUUAGAUGAUCGAAAUGAUCCAUUUCAAUAGAUGGAAUUUCUUUAAUAAGGAGAUUU